rnacentral:lncRNA from 1 species
AUCGUGGCUUUUUGAGUAGGACUAGUGGUACUGUGGCUGAGGCUUGGAGUAGCAUUGCUGGGGCUUAGAGCAGCAUUGCUGGGACUUACAGUGGUAUGGGUGGGACUUGGAGUGCUAUGUGUAGGGCUUACAGUAGUGUGGGUAGGGCUUGGGGUGGUGUGAGUUGGGCUUGUGGUAGUCUGGAUUGAGUCUGUGACACUGGGGAUAGAGCCUGUAGAGGUGAGGGGAGAGGGCAUGGGUUUGUGGGUAGAACCUACAGUGGUGGAAGUUAGGCCUGGAACACUGUUGAUCGGGCUCACAGCACUAUAUGUAGAGCUUGCCAUAGUAUGUGUGAUGCUUGGCAACUCAGAAGAGCCAGAGUCUGUGGCUUUGUGAACUAAGUCUAGCUGUGUAGAUGAGGCAGGGUCUAUAAAUGUGGGGGCAGGGCCAGCUGUACUUAGGGCAGGACUUGUGGCAGAACGGCCAUUGUCUGCAACAGGAGGAACACUACUGACAUGCUCCACAUGGGUGGACUCUGGAUAUACAAGUGGGCUAGGCCCUGGGGCUGGGCAUUUUAAGUCCACAGCUUCCAUGGCCUCAGUCAAGGCAGCAUCCACGCUGGCUUCACUGAUGUGGCUGAGAGUCCGACUGUAAGGGGCAUGCCCAUUGACCAGGGCUGGGGUCAGAGGUGGCUCUUCAUCCAUGGAACCAGAGGAGAGGCUCUCUGGCCUUCGGAAGGUAACUUGGACAGGCAGGGGCUCAGGCUGUUGCACCAGAGGCUUGGGAGUUGAUGAGUAUCGAGCAGUGCCUGAGAGCUGCGGGCUGGAUGAAUCAUCAGAAGAUUCGGAUGACAGGGACCAUGCUGUCCCAUUCUCUAACUCCUCCUGCCGCCGUAACAUGUUCUAAGAGAGAAAGAAGACUUCAGGGUCACACCAAAAAGACCCAGGGAGAUGGUAAGAUCUGGGGCCUGCACUUUGACUCACAUAAAAAGCCUGCUCCCG